GAUGAACGCUGGCGGCGUGCCUAAUACAUGCAAGUCGAGCGAACGGACGAGAAGCUUGCUUUUCUGAUGUUAGCGGCGGACGGGUGAGUAACACGUGGAUAACCUACCUAUAAGACUGGGAUAACUUCGGGAAACCGGAGCUAAUACCGGAUAAUAUUUUGAACCGCAUGGUUCAAAAGUUAAAGACGGUCUUGCUGUCACUUAUAGAUGGAUCCGCGCUGCAUUAGCUAGUUGGUACGGUAACGGCUUACCAAGGCAACGAUGCAUAGCGGACCUGAGAGGGAGAUCGGCCACACUGUAACUUAGACACGUUCCAGACUCCUACGGGAGGAAGCAGUAGGGAAUCUUCCGCAAUGGGCGAAAGCCUGACGGAGCAACGCCGCGUGAGUGAUGAUAGUCUUCGGAUCGUAAAACUCUGUUAUUAGGGAAGAACAUAUGUGUAAGUAACUGUGCACAUCUUGACGGUACCUAAUCAGAAAGCCACGGCUAACUACGUG
rnacentral:rRNA from 1 species